GUGAGGAAUUUUCCGCAAUGGGCGAAAGCCUGACGGAGCAAUGCCGCGUGAAGGAUGAAGGCCUAUGGGUUGUAAACUUCUUUUCUCAGAAAAGAAUUAUGACGGUAUCUGAGGAAUAAGCAUCGGCUAACUCUGUGCCAGCAGCCGCGGUAAGACAGAGGAUGCAAGCGUUAUCCGGAAUGAUUGGGCGUAAAGCGUCUGUAGGUUGUUUAAAAAGUAUUCUGUCAAAGAUUAGGGCUUAACCCUAGAUAGGCAGAAUAAACUUUUAAGCUAGAGUUUGGUAGAGGCAGAGGGAAUUCCUGGUGGAGCGGUGAAAUGCGUAGAUAUCGGGAGGAACACCAAAGGCGAAGGCACUCUGCUGGGCCAAUACUAACACUGAGAGACGAAAGCGAGGGGAGCAAAUGGGAUUAGAUACCCCUGUAGUCC
rnacentral:rRNA from 1 species